GGGCGCGUAGCUCAGUGGGAGAGCGCUCCCCUCACACGGGAGAGGUCGCUGGUUCGAGUCCAGCCGCGCCCA
rnacentral:tRNA from 1 species